UACGUAGGCAGCAAGCGUUGUUCGGAAUUACUGGGCGUAAAGAGCUCGUAGGCGGCCUGUCGCGUCGGUUGUGAAAGCCCGGGGCUCAACCCCGGGUCUGCAGUCGAUACGGGCAGGCUAGAGUUCGGUAGGGGAGACUGGAAUUCCUGGUGUAGCGGUGAAAUGCGCAGAUAUCAGGAGGAACACCGGUGGCGAAGGCGGGUCUCUGGGCCGAUACUGACGCUGAGGAGCGAAAGCGUGGGGAGCGAACAGG
rnacentral:rRNA from 1 species